rnacentral:misc_RNA from 1 species
GAUAUGUAAUCACUUGUCCUCCUUUUAAAUCUAAAUUUGUCUCCCAUUGAAUAUGAAUGUUCUGUAAUUUCACUUUACGGUAGAUCAUGGGGUGAAUAAAAUGCACUAUUUUAGAUCAUUGGGUUUGGAAACAAGGUAAUUUUUUUUUGAGCAGAUAGAUUAUUGUGGUAUAUCUAUCUUGUAUUUCAUUACAAUUACUUUCAAUUGCAUCUCAAUGUUUGCCUCUUGG